rnacentral:tRNA from 1 species
GCCGAAGUGGUGGAACUGGUAGACACGCAAGACUUAAAAUCUUGUGGGCGUUGAGUCCGUGCGGGUUCGAGUCCCGCCUUUGGCA